rnacentral:rRNA from 1 species
UCGAUUAGUUUGAUCAUGGCUCAGAAUCAACGCUGGCGGCGUGCCUCAGACAUGCAAGUCGAACGCGAAAGUCCCCUUCGGGGGAUAAGUAGAGUGGCGCACGGGUGAGUAACACGUAGGUAAUCUACCUUCGGGUGGGGAAUAACCCAGGGAAACUUGGGCUAACACCGCAUAAUGCAGCGGCACCACAUGGUGACAGUUGUUAAAGCGGGGGAUCUUAGGACCUCGCGCCUGAAGAGGAGCCUGCGGCGGACUAGCUAGUUGGUGAGGUAACGGCUCACCAAGGUGACGAUCCGUAGCCGGCCUGAGAGGGCGGUCGGCCACACUGAUACUGACAUACGGGUCAGACUCCUACGGGAGGCAGCAGUCGGGAAUUUUGGGCAAUGGGCGAAAGCCUGACCCAGCAACGCCGCGUGAAGGAUGAAAUCCCUCGGGAUGUAAACUUCGCAAGAAUGGGAAGAAUUAGUAGGGGUUAAUACCCCCUAUGAUGACGGUACCAUUUGUAAGCUCCGGCUAACUCCGUGCCAGCAGCCGCGGUAAUACGGGGGGAGCAAGCGUUGUUCGGAUUUACUGGGCGUAAAGGGCGCGUAGGCGGCCAGCGCAAGUCAGUUGUGAAAUCUCCGGGCUUAACCCGGAAAGGUCAACUGAUACUGCGCGGCUAGAGUGCGGAAGGGGCAACUGGAAUUCUCGGUGUAGCGGUGAAAUGCGUAGAUAUCGAGAGGAACACCUGCGGCGAAGGCGGGUUGCUGGGCCGACACUGACGCUGAUGC